CCAAAGCAGCAGACCUCUGCUGAGAAGACAAGCAAUACUGCAGCGCUCUGCAACAAGAUUUGAGGGCUUGGGAUGUGACCUUUGGGUAUCUCAACAUGAACAAAUAUUAGCACCCGUUUGGAACGUGAGGGAAGAUUAGCAGGACUCUCUACAGAAGCCAGCUUGGACAGACUUAAUAGCAGGAUUUGUCACCAAAGCAGUUCAUACAGUGGCUUCCUGGAUCCUAUGACAGUAAACGUUUGGAGAGUACAAAAUCAGACUCUGUCUCCUCCUAUACUGGUUUUUCAGACAUCUCUGCAUCUGAGCCAUGUGAAGUGAUUUCCUGCCUUUCUGAUGACAACGACUGCUGCUACUGUCAGAAAAUAACCUGAAUAUAAAUACUAGGAAUAAAGAAUAUUCUUUUCACCUUUUCACCUUUAAAAUGCAUUUAAUUUUAUUUACCAAAAAUACAUGAUGCUCUAGUGUAAUUUAAAAAUUCAAAUAAUUUGUCUUAAAGUGCAUUUUAGUGAAACUCAAUGAUGCUUGAAAUGUCACCAAUGUAAAUAACUUUUUGAAGGCAAAUCCAAAGAGACUCAUUUUACCUCUAAAAAACCUUAAAUGUACAUGGAAACCAUCUGUGUUUUGUCAAAGAUAUUAAAGUACAUUUUCUUGUACUGAUUGUUCAUCAUCUGUGAACAAUUCUGCUUUGAACUGCUUUGGAUAAUGGAAUGAGGAACUUUUAAAACUCAGGACAAGAAAAUUCUUUACCCUUUUUAGCAGAAGCAAAUACUUUUCUUCUAAACAUUUGUAAAGUGUCUGUUCUGAGUAUCUACUUUUUAACAUUGUUUUGCUUUCAUUUGUUCCUUUCUGAGGACUUCAGAAACCAGGUUCCUCAUAAAGUAUUUGGGAGCCUUUGGUACUUAUUUCCUUCCUUCCUUCCUUCCUUCCUUCCUUCCUUCCUUCCUUCCUUCCUGCCUGCCUUCCUGCCUUCCUCCUCCCCUCUCUCCCUCCCUAUUUGGAUUACAGCUAUUUUGAUGAAAGGUCCCACAUUGAAACUUAUGUCUAUUUCCCAAGCAGCCAAAUUAAGUGCAUUUCAGCUAUUUCUCCCUGAACCUUCUCUAGGCUGACCAGCCCCAGCUCUUUCAGGGCCUCCUGAGCUCAGAUGUCAGAUAAUCAAGUCCCCUAGUCAUAUUCAUGGUCCUUCACUGAACUGCCUUCAGCAUGUCCGGAUCUCUCCUGCAUUGGGAAGCCUGGGCAUGGACCAAGAAAUCCAAAUGUGUUCUCAGCAUGGCUGAGCAGAGGGGAGGAUCAUCUCCUUUGACCUGCUGGAAAUGCUUUUCCUAAGGUGACACGAGAAAUCACCGACUUUCUUUGUGAUGGGACACAUUGCAUGCUCAUGUGAUAUUUUCAAACUAUUGCUUCAGAUCUGAUUGCCUCUCAUUUCUUCUACCCCAGAUGCUGUUGGUGUUUUAGGUUUUUUCUUCUCCUGACUUUAUAUAAAUUAUAAUUGUUAAAAACAUAUUUUCAUAGUAUUUUUCCUAUUAAUUGUAAUAUUUAAUUUUUUUCCUGAAUAUAAUCAAAGGAAUAACACACAGAAACAAAAUAGGUCAUCAACGUGAACUAAAUUACAGCACUCAUUGCUUUGACAUGUCCCUUUACAUAUGCAUUUCUGCUACCUUACUGUUAAUAGUGUUCCUAUUUCUACCAUAAACUUACAAAGUCUAUCUGUGGGACUUCAAAGACUGCUUCUUUCCUGUAUUUUGAAGACCAUGUAACAAGGGAAAUAAAAAUGCCCUUUUUUUUUGCCUGCAGUAGAAUACUCUUUCUUUAGGAAAAAAUUAUUGAAAAUUCUGUUACUGCCUUGUGAAAAAUCAAGGACGUUUCAAGAAUUUUUAUAUAAGGAGUCAUAUAAAGAUCUUUUUCAAAAACUUUUAGGGAGUCAUUUAAACAUAGGUACAGUUUUUGUUUUCCCUCAUAUAAAAUUCUUACAUCAGACUUAAAAAGAAUCUGGGUACGAAAAAGGAGCAGAAUCUGAAAAUGAGUGGAUAUAUCUUUUUUUUUUUCCUUUAUUUUUAAUUGUAUGGCUGCUAAGAGGCUCUUUUUUCAUUUGUAAACAACAGUUAAUCUGUGACAUCUGUGGGAACCAAUGUAUUGUAUAAUUUAAGCAAACUUUGCAUUCGUAAUAAAAAUGUUCCCCUCCUCAGGGUUAUUUGAUCUAUAAAACUGGGUGAGUUAUAUAUUCUGCUAAUUUGUUUUACUAACCACUACAGAAUAUGUGCCAUCAUGUUGUGAUAUUUACUAGAAAGUGAGUUGAAAAAUAAAUGAAAAAAACUCUGCUAUUAAAU